rnacentral:rRNA from 1 species
GAUGAACGCUGGCGGCGUGCCUAAUACAUGCAAGUCGAGCGAACGGACGAGAAGCUUGCUUUUCUGAUGUUAGCGGCGGACGGGCGAGUAACACGUGGAUAACCUACCUAUAAGACUGGGAUAACUUCGGGAAACCGGAGCUAAUAUCGGAUAAUAUUUUGAACCGCAUGGUUCAAAAGUGAAAGACGGUCUUGCUGUCACUUAUAGAUGGAUCCGCGCUGCAUUAGCUAGUUGGUAAGGUAACGGCUUACCAAGGCAACGAUGCAUAGCCGACCUGAGAGGGUGAUCGGCCACACUGGAACUGAGACACGGUCCAGACUCCUACGGGAGGCAGCAGUAGGGAAUCUUCCGCAAUGGGCGAAAGCCUGACGGAGCAACGCCGCGUGAGUGAUGAAGGUCUUCGGAUCGUAAAACUCUGUUAUUAGGGAAGAACAUAUGUGUAAGUAACUGUGCACAUCUUGACGGUACCUAAUCAGAAAGCCACGGCUAACUACGUG